AUGGAUCUGCCGGAAGAGGACGGAUCUAUGGUGUUUGAACAUGUCCGACACCAUUGAUACGACAUCGUUCUUCAUCUUCUCCGUCGAACGAGGAGCGGCGCUUGCGGCGGAUCGUGGUCGGAAAUCAUGUGGAUUUGCGAAUGGUGGAUCGGCGGCGGCGACGGCUUUCCCUUCUCUAACUACGGUUUCAGAUCUUGCGGCGGCGCCGUAGGAGGAGAAGGAUUGAGAAAAGAUGGUGGAGCAGGGUUAGACGUAUGGAAACGGCGCUUGGAGGUGGAGAGGCUGUGGGUGGGUGGGUGGAGAGAAGGUUAGGGUUUCGGUGGAGAAGAGAGAAUCAAAUGACAGAGAUCGUGAAUUCAUUGGCCUUAUUUCCCAAAACUAUCUAGUAAGGGUAAAACGGUCAUAUCACUUGGGCUUCAGGGGGGUCUCACAAAAUAAGUUUAGAAUUUGGGUUUUUGGCUAGAGCAGAAAAAAUCAUAGGACUUAUCCUUAUAUAUUUUCAAAAUUAGGGGGUUAUCU
rnacentral:lncRNA from 1 species